AACUUAUGCUGGCCCGCCGAAAUAUUUUUGCCAAAAGUUAAACUUCCCACUUCUUUUUCCCGUACAAAACCAUUAUGUAUAUAAACCUAAAUUCUGCCGAAAACCCACAAGCUCUAUCAGAGCCUCCAAUCUACCGCCGCGUCUAAGCCUUAGCUAGAGUAGAGAUGAAGGUUGUUGCCGCAUAUUUGCUCGCUAUUUUGGGCGGCAACGCCAGCCUCUCAUCCAAGGACUUGAAGACCAUUCUCGCCUCCCUUGAAUUAACUGAACGAAAAAUUUGAACUGAUUCAAUUGGAAUUGUAAUUGCGUAGCCAUAUUAGUUAUCGUUGGAUCUGUCACUCGGUGAUGGCUGAUCUCCGGGCACUUCCUAGCCAGAAACAAACAUCGGUUUUUGUCCCCGUAUUAUGCACGACCGAUUAAUUUGCUUAAGGGCAGAGUUGUGGGACGAAGUUUUAUGGAGGGUUAAGAAUUCAUGGGAAGAAGAGCAGGUCUCAAUUCCAUGUUGCCAAUGUUGCCAUUGAAGUCAAUCCUUCUGAAUAGUUUCUCACCACUCUUACGAUUGAUCAACCUGCUCCUGGCCUAAAGGCAAUUCUCCGCUUCAAACUUCCUGAUCAGAGGUCCGACAAGAUAGAAAAACUCAGUGGAGUCAGAAAUUGGAAGAAGGACAAGUGAUCUCACGAGGAAUUUUCUUAGUGGUAAUAUACUGAGUGAAUGGGCUUCUGCAAAGUUGGAAUAUAUGUCCUUUUAUGUGAACAACUUAACUGGACCAAUCUCUGCCUUCUUGGGAUACAUCAGCACUCUAAAAUACUUGAACCUUGAGACUAACAUGUUUUCUGGAACUGUUCCUCCUGAGCUUGGGAAGUUGGUUAACUUGCAAAAUCUGAACUGCAUGAGAGAAUAUUAGUAUGAAGGCUUGAAUGUGCAAUAUUGAAACAUUGCUCAUAUUUGGAUAAGAGAACGUACAGUAUACUAUGACACUAUCUUAAAAGCAGUCCUCUCUCAUUGUGAUAUUGAGGUGGAUGCUCUUAUUGGUCAUGAGGAGAUAAUGAUCACAAGAAGUCAUUUUGGGAUGGGAAAGACAGGAAUGAGUCAAGUGAAAUCUCUUGGUUUUUCUUUUUGUGUGUUUUGUUCUCAUUGCUUUUUGAAUCAACACUUUAUGAUGACAUUUUUUAGGGAUUUUUUUUAUCUAAGUUAAAUGGUAUUAUUGAGUUUUCAUAUGUUAUGUGAUGGUUAAAUGAUGAUUAAUUUUUUUUGAACCAUAUACCAUAUUUUUCCAUAUUUACUUGUCAGCAUAAAUGAUUGGUCAAAUUGCAUUGUUAUAAUUGCUAGUUCAAUGCACGACAUGAUCAGUGACUAUAUUGCCCAGUACUUUAUUCUAUAAGCAUGAACUUUUGGUUAUCAUGGCUUUGUUUAGCCUAAACCUGAAAAUGCUCAUGGUUUGCUCCUUGAAUUUGUUUCAGACUGUUCAUGAAGGACGCAUAUAUCAACUAAAACUGUUCUGUGACAAAGAUUAUCCAGAGAAGCCACCAAGUAUACGAUUUCAUACACGCAUCAACUAUUGCACUGUUUUGAAAUGUUCUUUUAUUUUAAUAUAUGCGGGGACAUGCUGGUGCAGCUAUCGCAUAUGGGUCUCUUCUUCCCCACCAUGCUUCUUUUAUGUUAUUGUAGAAUAGUCGUCAAGAUUCCCAACGAAUAACUGCAAUGUGUUAAGUUCUUGCCAGAAAUGGAUCUAUAUGUAGGGUGAUUCUUCAAAUAGAAAUAAUGGUCUGUUGCAGCCAGAACUUAUAUUUCCGUCCCAUGUCAUGAACUUUCAGUCUUAAUAACAUAUUUUCAUGUCUUAGGUGUUGAAGUCCCAGAAUCUGUGAUGAACUUGACUUCGAAAAGGGGUUCUUUAGCAAGAAAGGCAAGAACGAAUGCAGAAAGCAUUGUAAGAGACCAGGCAGGAAUGGCAAGAGAGCGGUUUCAGAUCACUGCAAAACCAGGAUGUGAUCUUGGACAGAAAUGGUUGGAAAGACUUGACGAGGAAGAAAAUUAUCUAUUGACCGAAGAUUAGUAGAGUAUUCAUUAAGUUAUUUUUUCUAGUUCAUUUUGUAGUCGCUUAAGACUUAUUUUGUAUGUAUAUUAAUGUAUUUUAGUAAGUAAUAUAGUCCUUUUGGUGGUUUUCAGAUG